UAUUCGUUCCUGCAAAAUGUAACCUUAGCCAAGGACCUUAGAGGUGGCUUGCUCUCCUGAGCAGGGACAGGAAUUCCUGUCCUAAAGUUGGAUGACAUCUGGCUGGAACCAUAAGAUGUGUGCUGUGACAGAAACCAGAGCAGCUGGCAAUCUGGGAACUGGAACUGUCUUCGUCGAUUUUGAAUAUUUGGUCACCUUAUCUGAGAUUACCCAUAAACUCACUUUUU
rnacentral:lncRNA from 1 species